rnacentral:lncRNA from 12 species
GAUGGCUCUGCUGAUUCGGGCUGGGCUUGCCCACCAGCUGGCUCAUCUAGAGUGGGGGGAUGCCGCUUUGAGAAGGAAGGGCAGAGGGCCAGGUUAAGGAGCAAACCACACUUGCUGCUCCUUUGGCUUCAUCCCAACAUGGUGAUCGUGGGAACCAUGAGCGCCCGUCAGCGCUCAGAAUCUGGAGCUUUGUGGCUGCCACCGCAUUCACAACACACCGGUCUGGUCACUUUGGGAAAAAGGGAGAGUUAAGACAAGGGCAGAACACAAGCCAGGACCAGAUGGAUUUCCAUACCUGUGUCAUCCACCAAGUGAGAUGCAGACCUGGACAGAGACUACACCCCCU